CCAGUGUGAGCACCCCCGGGCCAGGGGUUCAGGAGGUAAGCCUGAAUCAUCAGUGUCCCCGGGGCUUGGGCCCAGGACUAGGGCAGAGCAGGUGCCAGAAAAGCGUGCUGUGGACUGAAAGAAGCUGUACAAAUGCUUCCAACAGCCAACAAACUGCCCUGAGGUAUUUCUUCGCAUUGUACAUUCUCAGACCUAAGGAUAAGGAGUGUGAGGCUGCAACCAGCUCCUGAAGGCGCAGGACACAGCUGUACGGAGUUUGGGGGUCACUAGGGAAAAAAAAUCCCUCCCAGCUUUUGUAGGCCCAGUUUCUCCAUCUUGAAUUCAGAAUGUGUGCACACGCGAGCACGUGCGCGUGCACACAGGAGGAACAAGCAACGGAAAUUGGCUGGAACGGUCUGGACUGCUGGUGGCUUCGUAAUGGGCUGUAGCUGGGCCCUUCCUUUCCCUCUCCAGAUGUGCGUGUGUGAUGGGGAGAUGCCAGACUCCCGGGCAGGAGAGAGAGCAGCUCUUUUACACGGCUGCACGUCCCAGGAGUCCCUGGGGAGUCAAAGGUGGAGAGGUUCCUCGAAACCAGUGUUUCCAGCUCCAGUCACCACACUGGAAGCUCUGCGGGGGGCAGGAGCCAGUGAAAGUCUUUUAGGUCCUCAGGAUAUGAAACAGUGCUUGCCCUAGAAGAAUUAAUAACAAUCAGCAGUUCAAUUCUGUCAGUAACCCCUCAAGUUCACAGAUAAGAAAACUGAGGCCGUAGAAGUGGAGUCAUGACCCCAUGCUAGAGACUGAAGAUUCAGAGUGAGGAGCGCCAGCCUCUGCCCUCUGGGGUUGCACUAGCAUCCGAGACAUUCAAAUCACACAUCAAGGGCUCUUUCCAGCACAUGCCACACAGCCUUGGAAAACUGCUCUCCCUCCUGCUACGGGGCAAGUGUGCUGUCCCUCUUGCUCAUCCUCUUCUUCCUGCUCCCCAGCUAAACCUUACAAUUUCCUCUCUAGUUCCUACAGAAUGCUGCCUCCCACUAGAAGUCUUCCCUGACUGCUGCUGCCCACACCCUACUCCUCCUCCCUCUUAGGUAUCCAUUUCCUUCGAAUGGACUGGUUCCUUGGCCACUCCAGACCGGGAGCGCCUUGAAGACAGAAUGUGGCCACUUCCUGUCUGGGUCAGACCUCGAUCCCUGCCUCUGACACGGCCCUGCAGGGAAGAUCGUGGUGAGGAUCCUGUGAACUCUACAUCCUUUACAGUGGGGUCCACCGUGAAUCAUCACAUUCACUAUGUGUCCUUGGGCAAGACAGGGCCCUCUCAGAUAAACAGAUGACCACCAUAUUUUCUCCUGUGCUACCCACCCACAUAUUCUGCUCUGGCUCCUGCACAUGAAAGCCCAG
ensembl:lncRNA